UCUCUCCUCUGCAGUAGUGAAGAUACACACGUGUGUCUGUUGUGUUUCUGCUGCAGAUCUUUGACCAGUGCUCAACAGCUGACGCUCCUCCACACACUCCUCCACAUCCAGGUGGAUUCACAGCUCCAGUAAAGCUCACACACAGGUCUGCAGUCAAACAUCAGUUCCAGCAGGUGUUCAGACAGGAGAUCUGUGGCUCUGUGGUAAGAGCGCUGCCCCACGGCUUCAGGGGUUGCUGGUAUGAUCCCAGCCAGAACUCUGCGAUAUGAGUGAAUGUAUCUGGAUGAAGACUUGAAUUUGCAAACUGAGACUGCAUCCAUCCGCUCCACUAGGCGGCAUCAGCGAGCUGCUCUUUUAGCCUGAACACCUUUGACAACAGCGCCACCAAAUCAUCACAGGUACACCGUGUUACUGGCGUCAAGUUGAGCUCCAGCAGAUGACAGCUCAGUGACAGACUCAUAAUGUCAGUCAACAGCACAUAUUACAGCCCGACAGCGAACAAGAGCGACACAGAGUGUAGAAAUGGAGAGUAACGAGACUCACCUCAGUGAAGAUACACACGUGUGUCUGUUGUGUUUCUGCUGCAGAUCUUUGACCAGCGCUCAACAGCUGACGCUCCUCCACACACUCCUCCACAUCCAGGUGGAUUCACAGCUCCAGUAAAGCAGAGACACUCAAAUGAUGAGCAUCUAUGAUGGGUGAGCGGAGAAACACAAGUUCAUAAACGUUGAGGUAAAUAUAGAUAUUAAUAGUAUGUGGAGUAGGAGAUAGUAAAUUGAAAGCUUUAUUAAUAUUUCUUAGAGAAACUGUGCUGUAUAAUAGAAUAUAAAUUAAUAAAUAUUAGAGGGAAGAAAUUUCACUUCUGAUCCACACUUCUAACCAGUAGAUGGCGGAAAUGCAUCAAGUCGUAUGCCAAACGCCAAUAAAAAAAACCCAAGAAGAAGAAGAACACAAGUUCUCUGAGGAAGACACUCAUAAAGACAAGGGUUUAAAUCUCAGAUUUGUUUUAUUGACCAAUGACAGCUCUC